CGCUCAGACUGCGAUCGCCUUAGAGUUUGAUCCUGGCUCAGAACGAACGCUGGCGGCGUGCCUAAUACAUGCAAGUCGAGCGGACCGCUUUGGGCAACUGAAGCGGUUAGCGGCGGACGGGUGAGUAACACGUGGGUAACCUACCUGGGGGACCGGGAUAACAUCUCGAAAGGGGUGCUAAUACCGGAUACGUUCCUCGGGGCACAAGCCCUGGGGAGGAAAGGUGGCGCAAGCGGCCACCCCCAGAUGGGCCUGCGGCCCAUUAGCUAGUUGGCGGGGUAACGGCCCACCAAGGCGAUGAUGGGUAGCCGGUCUGAGAGGAUGACCGGCCACACGGGGACUGAGACACGGCCCCGACUCCUACGGGAGGCAGCAGUAGGGAAUCUUCCGCAAUGGGCGAAAGCCUGACGGAGCAACGCCGCGUGGGGGACGAAGGCCUUCGGGUCGUAAACCCCUGUCAUGGGGAAAGAUGGGCGUCAGGGUGAACAGCCCUGGCGCUUGACGGUACCCCAAGAGGAAGCCACGGCCAACUCCGUGCCAGCAGCCGCGGUAAUACGGAGGUGGCAAGCGUUGUUCGGAAUUACUGGGCGUAAAGGGCGCGUAUGCGGGGAGGUAAGUCGGGUGUGAAAUCCCUCGGCUCAACCGAGGAACUGCGCCCGAAACUGCUUCUCUUGAGUCCCGGAGAGAAAGGUGGAAUUCCCAGUGUAGCGGUGAAAUGUGUAGAGAUCGGAGGACACCGGUGGCGACGCGCCUUCUGGACGUGACUGACGCUGAGGCGCGUAAGCGUGGGGAGCAACCGGAUUAGAUACCCCUGUAGUCCACGCUGUAAACGAUCGCUGCUAGUGUGGGGGUAUCGACCCCCCUCGUGCCGAGCUACGCAUUAGCACCCCCGCCUUGUGGAGUACGCUGCAUGUCUGAACUCCAAGGAAUUUGA
rnacentral:rRNA from 1 species